AGUGAACGCUGGCGGCAGGCCUAACACAUGCAAGUCGAGCGGCAGCGCGGGGGCAACCCUGGCGGCGAGCGGCGGACGGGUGAGGAAUUCGUCGGAAUCUGCCUUUUUGGGGGGGAUAACGUAGGGAAACUUACGCUAAUACCGCAUACGUCCUACGGGAGAAAGUGGGGGACCGCAAGGCCUCACGCAGAAAGAUGAGCCGACGACCGAUUAGCUAGUUGGUGGGGUAAAGGCCCACCAAGGCGACGAUCGGUAGCUGGUCUGAGAGGAUGAUCAGCCACACUGGGACUGAGACACGGCCCAGACUCCUACGGGAGGCAGCAGUGGGGAAUAUUGGACAAUGGGCGCAAGCCUGAUCCAGCCAUGCCGCGUGUGUGAAGAAGGCCUUCGGGUUGUAAAGCACUUUUGUCCGGAAAGAAAUCCCUGGAGCUAAUACCUUCGGGGGAUGACGGUACCGGAAGAAUAAGCACCGGCUAACUUCGUG
rnacentral:rRNA from 1 species